rnacentral:tRNA from 1 species
GCAGUGGUGGUUCAGUGGUAGAAUUCUCGCCUUCCAUGCGGGAGACCUGGGUUUGACUCCCAGCCAAUGAA